AAAGAGAUGGACUCUCAAUGAUUUUGACAUAGGAAAGCCUCUUGGAAGAGGAAAAUUUGGUCAUGUAUAUUUGGCUAGGGAGAAAAGGAGCAAUCAUAUUGUUGCACUAAAAGUGCUUUUCAAGAACCAGCUUAAACAGUCUCAAGUUGAGCAUCAGCUUCGGCGCGAGGUUGAAAUACAAAGCCACCUUCGACAUCCAAAUAUCCUGAGACUUUAUGGUUACUUUUAUGAUCAGAAACGGGUUUAUUUGAUUCUGGAAUAUGCUGCCAAGGGUGAACUCUAUAAGGAGCUGCAAAAGUGCAAAUAUUUUAGUGAAAGGCGUGCUGCAACUUAUGUUGCAUCAUUGGCGCGAGCCCUCAUAUACUGUCACGGGAAGCAUGUAAUACAUAGAGAUAUUAAGCCAGAGAACCUUCUGGUUGGUGCACAGGGUGAACUAAAAAUUGCAGACUUUGGUUGGUCGGUACACACCUUCAAUCGCAG
rnacentral:misc_RNA from 1 species